rnacentral:lncRNA from 1 species
GUGCUAGUUAUACAAAAGACAAUCCUGAAAAUAGUCCCUGCUUUCAAGGAGUUUAUAAUCAACUGGAAUAUUUGGAGGGACUCAAAGAGCCUCUGUUUCAAUUACGCUUCCAGAAAAUCUCCUGAGGUCCCUCCCCUUGUUGUGGCUGAGACUCCUUCAAUUUCCCAGACUGUAACUCCAGUUCUAUGGUUUGAAACCUCUAUCACACCAUUUAUAAGGUGUACAUUUGCAGGAAUCAGGGUGAGAAUGUAGCUUGGGAAUUAUGGGAAAAGCCUGAGACUCAAAGGGGAACCACAAAGGAAUGAAAGAUGGAAGAACUAGUGAGACACUGUUUAUUUUUCUAUAGCUGCCUUUGGGUGAAGAGCCCCAGGAGUCAUUAACAUUGUAUAGGCUUUUAUUAGGAUAUUUUCUAAAUCUGUUGUUCCAUUUUACAUUUCUGAAAAUCUCUACUGAGACUUGUAUUAUAUAUUAUUAAUUUUGUUUAUGUUUAUGUUUUCUCAUUGAUAUUUGAUUUCAGGAUGCCAGAUAGCCUUUUUUAAAGUUUAUUUUUAUUGGGAUGCAAUAUAUUGGUUAUUGUUGUAACAGCACACUCAUACAGAACCAAACCUCCCAAAUAAAGCCAUAAAUACACUAAUGUGAAAGACA